CGUGGGGCAGCCAGCUAACUUUGGCCUCCAUGUCCUUCUGUAGUCUAUGAAAGGAGGUACAGGGCAAAAAAUUGGGAAGAUACAGCAUAGACCUUUGACUGGUGCGAGGAACUAUCCCCCGCAGUCGCAUAGGCCGGGCCAUAUGGGACAGAGGGACAGGAUAGCCAGACGAGGCUGAUGAGUUCACCCACGUCUUCUUGCUUCUGGACUUCUCAACACCUCCCUGUGGAAAAAAUAGAAGGAGAAACCUCACCUUAUCACUUCCUGUCCAAGAUUAGGUCUCUGCUUCCUGAGGACACAGAGCAGCACGGAGGUGGUGACUUUAAUUAAAAAUGUAAGCAUUUGCAUUUGUAUUGCUGUUUGUGCAUACAACUGUAAAUUAAUCUUCCUGACUUGUGAAAUAUGCUGUUUUAUCUUUUUUAGUGCAUUAUGAAACGCUCAUGGGACGACUGAGCAGCGGACCCAAAGUGAAUGAGUAAUGUGUCCAGAGCAGUCCAAGGACCCGCAACAUCCAGCUUUGUUCAAACUCCCCAGCAGGCGGCGUAGUGGUUGGCACUUUCCCCUCCUAGUCUGCAGGUCCUCAGUUCGAAUCCCACUCCUGAUAAUAAUGCCGUGCUGUAUAAAUGGGUAAAAACGUAUAAAUACCUUGUGGCAGAAGCCAAAAACUUCACGUCGCACUUUGUCCACUAAAUAACGGUUAAUAACACCCAACGCGCGUGCGUGCGUCUCCCUCUCUCUCUCUCACACACACACACGCACGCUCGUCCAGCAAACGCAGAUCUUGCAAGCAGUCCUUUACGUGCAUUCGCUAAAAAAAGGGAUGCGCUCUCGUUUCUGCUGUCCGUGACUGUGUUUCUCCUCUAAGUUUCCCGAAUAUGUAGCCAGUGCGGCCGCCGCCGCUGCACUGUGA
rnacentral:lncRNA from 1 species